rnacentral:tmRNA from 1 species
GGGGGUGACAGGCUUCGACUCCGGUCGUCGAAGUGGGAGAAGCGAGCCGUGGUCUCCGGAGCCACGUUAAAGAGCCGGAAACCAAAACAAACGCCGAGCCUCAGCUCGCGAUCGCUGCCUAAGUAGCAGCGACGUCCGACCGGUCCUGGUCCCGCGGAUCGGAUCCGGGCGUCAUGAAGUGGGACUUACCUGGAACGUCGUGCCGACCGGCCUCUAGGGACAUUUUCGUCGGAUACGGACGGCUGUUCUCGCCGGUCGCGGCAGCCGUCCCGACAACCUUUGACUGGCUGCGCUCGGAGAAGGCCCACGGAGAAGCCGGAGGACGCGGGUUCGAUUCCCGCCACCUCCACUU